UCGUAGUUGAGCUAGAUCAAACAAGAACAACAAGUGUUAAGGCAGAAAUCGUAGUCUGAUGUAUAAUCUACACUUAGAGUAGAAGUGUCUGCAGAACCAAAGCUAGAUCGUAGUCUGCAGAACAAAGUCUUCGACAAAGCCUAUCAUUGCUCACAACGUCAAGGAAGAAUCGUAGUGUUAACACGAUUAUCAACACAUGAGCACUCCCAAAGCAUCCAAAGAAUGAAGCCUCUAGACAGAACUAUAGAGAUGCAAUCUACUUGAAGGAAGCCAGAGAGCAUUCACCUAAUGGCUUACAAGCAAACAGAAGAUCAUAAUACCAAUUCUGUUAGCAUCUUGAUUGAGACGUGAAGCCAAUCAAGAGAAGUCUUCUACAAGCAACAGUAAGAAGACUUCAGAUAACUUGACUGACAAAAGGAAGUCAGCCAUGCAGUAAU
rnacentral:lncRNA from 1 species